rnacentral:rRNA from 1 species
ACGCUCGACACCUACGGGGAAGCAGCAGGUGGGGAAUAUUGCACAAUGGGGGAAACCCUGAUGCAGCAACGCCGCGUGAAGGAAGACGGUUUCGGAUUGUAAACUUCUGUUCUUAGUGAAGAUAGUGACGGUAGCUAAGGAGCAAGCCACGGCUAACUACGUGCCAGCAGCCGCGGUAAUCUGAGCGGGCUGGCAAGGC